rnacentral:tRNA from 1 species
GGAGGCGUGUCCGAAUUGGCUAAGGAGCCGGUCUCGAAAACCGGUAAGGAUAAAAUCCUUAUGUGGGUUCGAAUCCCACCGCCUCCGCCA